AACGAACGCUGGCGGCGUGCCUAACACAUGCAAGUCGAGCGCGAAUGGAGCAAUCCUAGUAGAGCGGCGCACGGGUGCGUAACACGUGGGUAAUCUGCCCUGAAGAUCGGGAUAACCUGCCGAAAGGCUGGCUAAUACCGGAUAAGCCUACAGACUCUUCGGAGUCCGAAGGAAAGGUGGCCUCUGUAUACAAGCUAUCACUUCAGGAUGAGCCCGCGGCCCAUCAGCUAGUUGGCGGGGUAACGGCCACCAAGGCAACGACGGGUAGCUGGUCUGAGAGGAUGGUCAGCCACACUGGGACUGAGACACUGCCCAGACUCCUACGGGAGGCUGCAGUCGAGGAUAUUUAGCAAUGGACGAAAGUCUGACUAUGCGACGCCGCGUGAGGGAUGAAGGAUUUCGGUUCGUAAACCUCUUUUGGCAGGGAAGAACAUUUCGUAGCUUAAUCACUACGAAACUGACGGUACCUGCAGAAUCAGCCAC
rnacentral:rRNA from 1 species